rnacentral:rRNA from 1 species
UCAGAUUGAACGCUGGCGGCAGGCCUAACACAUGCAAGUCGAGCGGAAACGAGUUAUCUGAACCUUCGGGGAACGAUAACGGCGUCGAGCGGCGGACGGGUGAGUAAUGCCUAGGAAAUUGCCCUGAUGUGGGGGAUAACCAUUGGAAACGAUGGCUAAUACCGCAUGAUGCCUACGGGCCAAAGAGGGGGACCUUCGGGCCUCUCGCGUCAGGAUAUGCCUAGGUGGGAUUAGCUAGUUGGUGAGGUAAGGGCUCACCAAGGCGACGAUCCCUAGCUGGUCUGAGAGGAUGAUCAGCCACACUGGAACUGAGACACGGUCCAGACUCCUACGGGAGGCAGCAGUGGGGAAUAUUGCACAAUGGGCGCAAGCCUGAUGCAGCCAUGCCGCGUGUGUGAAGAAGGCCUUCGGGUUGUAAAGCACUUUCAGUCGUGAGGAAGGUAGUGUAGUUAAUAGCUGCAUUAUUUGACGUUAGCGACAGAAGAAGCACCGGCUAACUCCGUGCCAGCAGCCGCGGUAAUACGGAGGGUGCGAGCGUUAAUCGGAAUUACUGGGCGUAAAGCGCAUGCAGGUGGUUUGUUAAGUCAGAUGUGAAAGCCCGGGGCUCAACCUCGGAAUAGCAUUUGAAACUGGCAGACUAGAGUACUGUAGAGGGGGGUAGAAUUUCAGGUGUAGCGGUGAAAUGCGUAGAGAUCUGAAGGAAUACCGGUGGCGAAGGCGGCCCCCUGGACAGAUACUGACACUCAGAUGCGAAAGCGUGGGGAGCAAACAGGAUUAGAUACCCUGGUAGUCCACGCCGUAAACGAUGUCUACUUGGAGGUUGUGGCCUUGAGCCGUGGCUUUCGGAGCUAACGCGUUAAGUAGACCGCCUGGGGAGUACGGUCGCAAGAUUAAAACUCAAAUGAAUUGACGGGGGCCCGCACAAGCGGUGGAGCAUGUGGUUUAAUUCGAUGCAACGCGAAGAACCUUACCUACUCUUGACAUCCAGAGAACUUUCCAGAGAUGGAUUGGUGCCUUCGGGAACUCUGAGACAGGUGCUGCAUGGCUGUCGUCAGCUCGUGUUGUGAAAUGUUGGGUUAAGUCCCGCAACGAGCGCAACCCUUAUCCUUGUUUGCCAGCGAGUAAUGUCGGGAACUCCAGGGAGACUGCCGGUGAUAAACCGGAGGAAGGUGGGGACGACGUCAAGUCAUCAUGGCCCUUACGAGUAGGGCUACACACGUGCUACAAUGGCGCAUACAGAGGGCGGCCAACUUGCGAAAGUGAGCGAAUCCCAAAAAGUGCGUCGUAGUCCGGAUUGGAGUCUGCAACUCGACUCCAUGAAGUCGGAAUCGCUAGUAAUCGUGGAUCAGAAUGCCACGGUGAAUACGUUCCCGGGCCUUGUACACACCGCCCGUCACACCAUGGGGAGUGGGCUGCAAAAGAAGUAGGUAGUUUAACCUUCGGGGGGGACGCUUACCACUUUGUGGUUCAUGACUGGGGGUGAAGUCGUA